UAAUACGUAGGGUGCGAGCGUUGUCCGGAAUUACUGGGCGUAAAGAGCUCGUAGGCGGUUUGUCGCGUCGUCUGUGAAAUUCUGCAGCUUAACUGUAGGCGUGCAGGCGAUACGGGCAGACUUGAGUACUACAGGGGAGACUGGAAUUCCUGGUGUAGCGGUGAAAUGCGCAGAUAUCAGGAGGAACACCGGUGGCGAAGGCGGGUCUCUGGGUAGUUACUGACGCUGAGGAGCGAAAGCGUGGGGAGCAAACAGGAUUAGAUACCCUGGUAGUCCACGCCGUAAACGGUGGGUACUAGGUGUGGGUUCCAUUUCACGGGAUCCGUGCCGUAGCUAACGCAUUAAGUACCCCGCCUGGGGAGUACGGCCGCAAGGCUAAAACUUAAAUGAAUUGACGG
rnacentral:rRNA from 1 species